GACGAACGCUGGCGGCGUGCUUAACACAUGCAAGUCGAACGAGGUUAUAGGAGAGCUUGCUCGAAUAUAACCGAGUGGCGGACGGGUGAGUAACGCGUGAGCAACCUGUCUCAUACAGGGGGAUAACGCAUCGAAAGAUGUGCUAAUACCGCAUAGGACCACGAAGUCGCAUGGCUUUGAGGUGAAAGGAGCAAUCCGGUGUGAGGUGGGCUCGCGUCUGAUUAGAUAGUUGGUGGGGUAACGGCUCACCAAGUCAACGAUCAGUAGCCGACCUGAGAGGGUGAUCGGCCACAUUGGGACUGAGACACGGCCCAGACUCC
rnacentral:rRNA from 1 species